GAUCCGGAUCUUGCUCCUCGGGAACGGGUACGAUGGCGCCGGUUAGGGAAUCGAGGACCGUGACGUCCUCGUGGCGUUUGAGGCGCUGUGCGAAGGCGGAGCGGAAAGUCUCGGCGACGUUGGUGAACUCGGUGUACAAGUUAGGUUCGAGGGGAGAUUGGGUGGUGGUGGUGUUGAAAUUGAAGAAGGAUGAGGGUGGAAUCGGAGUUUGUGGGGAGGAAUCAGUGACUGGCUCCGGCUUAGGGAUCACCAUAGGUAUGUGAGAAGUCAUCUCUCUCUCUCUCUUUCAAGGAGAAGAAGAAGAAGAAGGGGGUAACUAGGUUUUGAGCGAUAAAUCGAAGAAAUAGGGUUUUUUUUUAAUUUUUGGUUCUUCAAGCUAAGCCGAGAAGAAGCUUCAUUCAUUUUCUUAAAUGAUCAAUAUAAACAAACUUUUGAAACAUUUAUUGUUUAACUAAAAGUAUUAUCCCUUCUAGUCUAUUUAUUAUUUUGUCAAAAUCAAUUACAGUUUGUAAAAGUAUUGAAGCAAAAAAUAAACUUACGAAAGCAGUAUUUAAGUAUUUAACACAUAUCAUGAAGCAGAAAAAAAAAAUAUUUAUCUAUUUUAUUUUAAUUUUCUUAAAUGAAUAUAUAAACAAAUAUUUGAAACAUUUACCAUUUCAGUAUUUAAGAUUUUCAGAAUUAAAGAUGGGUUGUUUUACCAAAAAAAAAAGAACUCAAACAAAACACCAUAUCACAAGCCCUUUGGUUUCUGUCGAUGUAAAGCUUUCUAUGUUCUGUAUGUAAAAUAUUUAGACAACAAAAACAAAAACAGAAUCAAAGUAAGUGUUCCUUCACCCACAUCAAUGAAAAGCCUUUGGUUCUCUAUUUUCUCAGCUACUUUUGUUUCUCAGAUUCCUUUUGAGAAGAAGACCCAACAGCUCCAGGAUUAGCACCAGCCGCACAAGCAUCCAGCAAACUCGCUGCAAUCGCUGCCUUCAAGUCAUCAUCCUCCAUCUCCGAAAAAGCCCUCACUUCCUCCCUCGACAAUGCCUCGUAUGGUCUCUGUUGAUCAACAUUAUCACUAGUUCUGUUUCCACUGGCAGAAGAAGGAGAACUCCUCCGCACUGCUCCCGUGGUCUUUAACAGCCUCUCUGCGUCUUCAGGAGAAAGCCACUGACCAAAACCGUUUGAAGCCUCAGAAGAAGACAGGGGACACUCCUGCGGGAAGUUUCCUUUCACAAUGAAGAUGCUCCAUCCUGAGCCUCUGAGAGAGUCGAGAAACGCAGAGAGGUAGAAUUUCGACAGGUGUUGCGGUGCGGCGAGAAGGCUGUCGAAGUUAUACCAUUCUCCGUUCACUUUCCUUAUGCAGAACCAGUGGUCGUGCAAGUGGCAGAUGAAUGCGUUUUCAAGCUCGGGGUCUAUCUGCGCAGGCUCUGCAUCGCGGCAAUUGAGAGGGAUCACUUGUAAGUUCCACACUUCCAAAGCCUUUUGCAAGACCUGUUAAUCAAAAAUACAAAGCUUCCUCAGUGAAAAGUCUGAAGCUUUACACACUACACAGAUAACUAAAAACCUGCAAAAAAUGCUUCUAUCCUUGUACGUUUAUUUAUUAUAAAUGGUAUGUAAAUCUUCUACACACAAAACUUGCAAGCAAAACUGACUCAUGUCUCAGCAGACUAAUCAAGCUACUACCUUUCAAGCUUAUACAGGAACAACAGAUGAUAAGAUACAUGUUACAAGAAACAAUCAUGAUCAGACUCGAAGUGAGUCAAAGAUAUACAAACAUAAAGUCGGAGAAUGCAUCAUUACUAAUCUCAAUUCACUAUAUUUAUUAUCAAAUUGAUUCGAUCUGUAGCACUUAAAUUGGUGUAUUCAUCUUCAAGAUCGCAGAGAUACGCAUUCAAAAGUUUUCCAUUUCAGAUUCUUGUGCACUUAAACAACACACAAAACUUGCAAGCAGAACUGACACGUGUCAAAGCAGACUAAUCAAGCUACUAGCUUUCAAGUUCUGACACGAGACAAUCAUGAUCAAACAGGCGAGUGCGUAACAGAUACAAACAUAAAGUCAAUCUUAGCCCCAUUACUAAUCUCAAUUCACUAACUUUGUAAUCAAAUUGAUCCGAUCUGUAGCACUUAGCUAUAAAAGUUCGAAUCUUUAAACUUGUGCAUUCAAGAAAUGGCAAUUGUACCUGGAUACUGAAAUCGCCGCCGAGGGAAACGUUGUGAGACUCCUCAGAGAAGAAAUCGCCGGCGGAAAAGGUUCCUGCGGCGGCGCCUUCGAGCAUGACCUGGCGCUCCUUCCCGUCGAGAUCGGAGGCGACGGCAGCCAAAUCGAAUUCGGAGAAGAAAGGACCCUGGAGCACGGUGUUGACGCAGUGAACGGCGCAGAGAUUGGCUUCCUGAACCUCGUGGUACAAGAUUCCUCCGUUGCUCGGUCGCUCCAUGGUCGAUCAAGAUUCAAAAUCAAAACCCUAAUCUCCUUUAAGAAUCCGUGACGAUAUAUAUAUGUGGAGCGAUGCGAAAGUCUUUGCCUUGAAGCAAUUAGGAAGGCAAGCAGAAGAAAUGGGAGGAGAUGGGAAGUUGGAAAUAAAAUAUUUACACACACCCUUUUUUCAUUAUCCUUUUAUAUUAAAAUGUUUCCCCCACGUCAUUACACAUGUGUCAUGAUUUUUUUUUAACGAAAUUGUUCUCCUUGUUAAGCUACAAUAAAUUAAAUUUAAAUUCUUGGAUUUGACUUGAGUAAUUUAAUGCUUUUACUUUUUUUACACUUUCAACUUAGUAUGUGAUAUUUUGGUUUCUGAUAUAUGAUGAUAGCAUAUCUAGAAAUGCUUUAGAAAAAAUAACAUACUCGCAAAUAAAAGCGCCAGCGUGCAAUAUAUCCAAACACCGAACCCCCCAGCCAGUCUCCACCGACCUAAACACCUCGAGUCUACUCCUCAACCCCUUCUGCGUCACGCGGUUCCGACACGUCGGAGGGCACUUACACCCCGGUCCACACUCAUGCACCAACGGCCUCAUUCUUAUCAAAUUCCCGUUGUAAUCAUAAGCAAACUCGCCACCGUUCUUCCUCUCGCAGAUGCAGCCGCUGCUACAACCGCUGACACAUUCGCAUCCACUCGCAUUAUCACCAUUACUACCACCCAAUAUGCCGCGAGGGAAAGAAGUAGUGGCGAGAUACUCAUAGUACAACGGCUCCUGAUCGUCAUCAACGUCGUUGAACAAAUACACAGGAGCGUUCUCCUUCCUGUUGGAGAUAUCGAAGCUGAUGUACCCGCUCGGUCUCACAGACAAAGGGUUGGUUUUAAGCGUCUUGGCGAACUUCAACACCGACGUCCCCAUCUCCACCUGCCCUCCGAUCCUCUCCAGCCUAAAUUUAAAAACACCGAACCCGGACUUCCCCACAUCGAACCAAGAAUCAACGAUCCUAAACAGCCCAUCAUAAACAUAAACCUUGCUAGAAACAGCGUUCUCGUACUUAAAACCUCUAACGACUCUCACUUCGAUCCCGUAGUACAUACUCCUCUCCAUAGCGAGAUUCCCACCUUCGAGCUUCUGAUGCUCAGCCUGCCUCCCGAGCUUGUCCUGCCCUCCAUGUCCCGUGUAGAUAAUCACAUCCCCUUGAUCAUCAUCAUCCUCAUAACCACCUGAAUUCAAAUCAAAUCAAUCAAUAGAAAGUUUGUUAUUCAGCUCAAAAGAAAACUAAACCAUAAUUAAUCUAACUAAACCGGAAUCUGACUGAACCGGUUUAAAUUCACCUGAGACAAUCACGCUGGUGGCGAUCGGCUCUCCGUUAGAGCUGCGGGAGCCAAUGAGAUAGUCAAUCCCAGCCUGCGUCUGUCCGUGCAACCCCAUGACGCAGAGCUCGAGCCUGAAGAAGAAGAUGUCUCCGACCUGGACGCCGGGGAUCGAACCGACGAUGCGUUUGUCCCGAUUAAGCCAAAGGAAACGCUCUUUCAUCAUCGAGGCGGCUUUGCUAUCGGGCCUGCCUCUCCUCCUUCCGAGCUCUUCACGAGUCUCCUCGAGGAUCAAGAAGAUCCGAAGAGAAUCGUAGAUCAUCCUCGUCUUCCUCACCACUUCCCGGAACUGCCUCUCUCCCUCGGGGCCGACGUCGGUGAUCCUCACGAGCUCAGACGAGCGCUCCUGAGGUUUACGCGGCUUGAGGGACUGCGAAGGGUAACUGACCGGAUCCGGAUCCGGAUCUUGCUCCUCGGGAACGGGUACGAUGGCGCCGGUUAGGGAAUCGAGGACCGUGACGUCCUCGUGGCGUUUGAGGCGCUGUGCGAAGGCGGAGCGGAAAGUCUCGGCGACGUUGGUGAACUCGGUGUACAAGUUAGGUUCGAGGGGAGAUUGGGUGGUGGUGGUGUUGAAAUUGAAGAAGGAUGAGGGUGGAAUCGGAGUUUGUGGGGAGGAAUCAGUGACUGGCUCCGGCUUAGGGAUCACCAUAGGUAUGUGAGAAGUCAUCUCUCUCUCUCUCUUUCAAGGAGAAGAAGAAGAAGAAGGGGGUAACUAGGUUUUGAGCGAUAAAUCGAAGAAAUAGGGUUUUUUUUUAAUUUUUGGUUCUUCAAGCUAAGCCGAGAAGAAGCUUCAUUCAUUUUCUUAAAUGAUCAAUAUAAACA
rnacentral:lncRNA from 1 species